rnacentral:rRNA from 1 species
UACGAAGGGGCUAGCGUUGUUCGGAAUUAUCUGGGCGUAAAGCGUGCGGCAGGCGGUUUGUAAGACUGUCGUGAAAUCCCCGGGCUUAACCCUGGGAAUGGCGAUGGUGACUGCAAGCUGGAGUUGGCAGAGGGGUAGAAUUCGACGUGUAGCAGUGAAUGCGUAGAGAUGAUGGAGGACACGAUGCGAAGGACACCCCGGUCAAACUGACGCUCAGUGCACGAAGCGUGGGAGCAACAGG